rnacentral:misc_RNA from 1 species
AAAGUCGUAACAAGGUCUCCGUUGGUGAACCAGCGGAGGGAUCAUUACAAGAAGCCGAAAGGCAACUUUAAACCAUUGCGAACUUAUCCAAGUUGCUUCGGCGGUGCGGUCCCCCUGCGGGACCGCAGCCCAGGCCCCUCACGGGGCGUAAGGCGCCCGCCGGAGGUCUAAAACUCUUUUGUAUUAUAGUGUAGUCUCUGAGUAAAAAGCAAAUAAGUUAAAACUUUCAACAACGGAUCUCUUGGUUCUG